UGGUUUCUCGUCUACCUACUACUAAUUUGUCUCUACUCUCUCCGUAAAGUAGUUGAACAUGCUUACUUGCUUUCACAAAAGCUCAACUAAAGAAUAUUUCAGGAUAACUGGAUUACAUUACUGCAGUUCUUAGUGUUUCCACCAUGAGACUGAAUGACCAGGACCAGGCAAGGAAUGUGAAAGUUGGUGUGCCACACCUGUUUGCACUUUGGACAAAUGUGUGUAUAUAUAUAUGUGUGUAAUACUGUCUGUCCUGUGGCUUUUUAUGUAUCCACUAUCCAUUGUCAUAGUGCAUUCUCAAUCUUCCUUUUUGUUCAUUCGCUAGGUCGGAGUACUAUAGAGAUAUUUACCUGCCAUGAUAGGGACAUAGUGGAGCCUCAUUGUGAUAAGUUUUUUCUUUUGACUUUUUGGUUUUACAGAGAUUAGAAGCAGCAAUACAACAGCAGCUUCUUAGUCUACAGAAUAGUCUCUGGUUGGUUCAGCUAAUUUGACAAGGAUGCCAAAUGACCUUGGUUUAUUACUUUGUGGUGAAGCUCUGUGACAAUACAAGUUUCUGCCUUGGAUAGAUUAAUACUUUCAACACAUGCAAAUGUACAAGUGGACGAAUAGUAUUUGCUUGUGAACUUUCCAGUCUAUAAUCAUUGUAACUUUUAAGCAGAUUAAUAUGUUCCCUUUUAU
rnacentral:lncRNA from 1 species